AAUACGAACACCUUAUCAUUCACUACACACUGCACCAAAACACGAUAGUAUACCCUUACUAAAUUCUUACCAUACACCGCAUAAUUCACAUGACCAUAAUAACAUCCUCCGAUAACAAUAGCUGAAAUUUCACGAAUCUGAUGCCCACAAUACACUUCAUGACACGUAUAAGUCAUGUUCCGACUCGUGCAAUACUGCCACAACGGAGGAGAUGUGUAGAAAUUCAUAACCAACUACCGAGUCAACAAAUCAUUGGGUUUCUUCUCUUGACAAGAACCAUUACCUCAUUAUGAACUAAUAACGAUAUUUGCUCCACAAAAGAUAAACACAUUCAACAGUCAAUCAAGAAUUCUUUAAGGAGCAAUUAUCCAAGAAAUGUAAAUUCUCAUUUAACGGUCAAGAAAAAUGAAGUUUAACCUUUUAAAAAUUCAUUUACCAAGUUCAAUAUGUUUUAAGCAAUUAAAUUACUAAUAAGGCAGCAAAUAUCGCAAGUAUAGCAUGAUUUGGGUCCUAAACUACCCGUACAUGAGCAUAAUAGUAGCUACGCACGGACUCUCGUCACCUCGUGCGUAUGUAGCCCCCACAAAUAGAAUCACAUAUCAAAUUAAUUCACCUAUGGGGUUAAUUCCCUAUUACAAGGUUAGAAAGGAGACUUACCUCACUCCGAAAAUUCCAUAACUGGCUCCCAAGCCCUUUCAACAACUCAAACUGAUGCCCAAUGCUCCAAAACUAGUCAAUAAAUGUGUAAACUCAUACAUAAAUACUCUAAUGAUCAUAAUAAUUCAAUUUACAACAAUUCCUAACUCUGCUUGAAAAGUCGAUAAAAAUUACCCUCGGGCCCACGUGCCCGUUUUCCGAAAAUUUUCGAAGAUAAACUUUACCCAUGACACCACGAACUCAAAUAUAUAAUUUAUUCCAAAUUUCAUGUCCAAUUUCGUGGUCAUAAUCCAAAAAUAUCCAUUUCUAGGUUUUCUACCAAAAAUCCCAAAUUUCUACAAAUUUUCAAGUCUAAAUCCAUAUAUAAUCCAAGUAUUUAACUUGCAAUAGGUGAAAAUCACUUACCUUGACAUAGCUGACAAAAAUCUCCUUCCAAGAGCUCCAAAAAUCACCCAACCAAAUGAAAAGUGGAGGAAAAUGGCAAAAUCUCAUCUUUUAAAAGAAAUCUCACUGCCUAGGCGAUUUUCGCACCUGCGGUGCCUUGGCCGCAUCUGCGGUCCUGCACCUGCGGCAAAUGCCUCGCAGGUACACCUUUCCCUCACCUGGCCGGGCUCCGCAUCUGCGGACAAGGAGGGCCGCUUCUGCGAGCCUAGCCGCACCUGCGACCAUGUCUCUCGCACCUGCGUUCACGCAGGUGCGCCCAAUCUUCCGCAUUUGCGAAUUCUGGGUUGCCCUCCAUUUCUCGCUUCUGUGGCUCGUGGCUCGCACUUGCGAGCCCGCACAUGCGGCUCUUUUUAUGCAGGUACGAUUGUACCAGGUACCAGCUGCCUCAGCAUUUUUCUUAGUCCAAAAAUCAAUCAGUUAAGUAUCCGAAACUCACCCGAGGCCCCCGGGACCCCGUCCAAUCACACCAACCAGUCCAAUAACAUAACAUGGACCUGCUCGAGGCCUCAAAUCACAUCAAACAACAUCGAAAUCAUGAAUUGUACCCCAAUUCAAACUCAAUGAUCUUUGAAACUGUAAACUUUUACAAUCGAUGUCGAAACCUAUCAAAUCACGUCCGAUCGACCUCAAAUUUCAAAUACAAAUUCACAUUCGACAUUACGGACCUAUUCCAACUUCGGGAAUUGGAAUCCGACCCCGAUAUCAAAAAGUCCACUCCCGGUCAAACUUCUUAAAAUUAUCUAAAUUUCCAACCUUCGCCCAAAUGACCCCAAAAUGACCUACGGACCUCCAAAUCCACUUCCGGACGCGCUCCUAAGACCAGAAUCAUCAUACGGAGCUAUUUCCAGACUCGAAAUCCCAAACAGACGUCGAUAACAUUGAAAUGCACUUCAACUCAAAUUUAUGAAAUUCUUCCAAAAUACCAACCUUCCACAAUAGGCACUAAAACGCUCUCGGGUCAUCCAAAACUCGAUCCGGACAUACGCCUAAGUCCAAAAUCAUCAUACGAACCUGUUGGAACCUUCAAAUCUCGAUUCCGAGUUCGUCUACUUAAAAAUCAUACUUUAGUCAAUUUCUCCAACAUAAGUCUUCCGAAAUUAGAAUUUUCUUUCCAAAUCAACUCCGAACUUCCCGAAAUUAAAUUCCGAACACGCGUAGAAGUCAUAAUACCUGAAGUGAAACUGCUCAGGGUCUCAAACCGCCGAAUGACGCACUAGAACUCAAAACGACCGGUCGGGUCAUUAUAAUUUUGGUAUAACUUUUUGACAAGUUAUUCUUUUAUAAAUAUAUUCGGUAAUAACGAACUAUUUGAACUUCUUUUUGGUUUAAGAGUCUUUAUUUAUUAAUAAAACUUUACACAAUUUCAUAUACCCAAAUAUUUCUAUAAAAUAAGCUCCGGCUCCAGCUCCGGCUCCAGCUUUUCAUCAUCAAAAUUUUGUCUUGUUCAAGCAACAGUUACAAAAUUAAGUGUUUGUGGUUCUCUUUGACGAGCAAAAAGUUUUUGUGUUAGUUGUUAAUUUUGCAUUCAUGUAAUUGUAUUAGUAGUUGAAUUUUUUUCGAUAUAUUUGUAAACUUUGUAUUUGUAUUUAUAUUUACAGUAUUUGUAUUAAUAGUAGUUAAAUUUUAAAUUCGUGUAUUCACCCAAUACUAUCUUUAUUUUAGUCUUCUUUAUUGUGAAGCUUGGUUAAAUAGUUGCCUUUUUUGCAUUAGAUCGUGUGCUUCAACCUUUUGUCAAUCUAUUUCUUCACUAUUUUGUUGCACUCGCAUUAAAUCUUAUAUUUGUGUUGGUUAUCCAAUUUUAUAUAAGUUUUUAAAUAGAUUUCAUAUCGAACAAAAUUAUAAAUAAAAUCUUUUACUUAAUAUUUUAGAAUAAACCAAAAUUUUAGCUAUAAACUUUUCCUUAUUUGAACUAAUUAGGGAGUCCUAAUAUUUAGUAACUUAAAAUUAUUAAGAUUUUUUCUUACAUAAUUUUAUUUUAUUUGAACUAUAUAAAACACCUAUAAUUUAUUUUAAAAAUUUAUCAGUCGAAUUUAACAAUAAUGGACUGUGAAUUCUAUAUGUACUUUGGUUUGUAAUGGAGUGUGAAAAAAAUCCUUCCCUUAUAGUUAUGUGGCCAAUGAUUUUGUUACUUCGAGUUCAUGCACAAAUAAAAACUAUUGCCUAAGAAACAUCAAAGAAAGGAUAUAACAUAGUUCUUAGUUCGGAUAUUAAAUAUGUUGGAGAAUCAAACUUCUUUAAAAAGAUUUUUACGUUAAAACUUUAAAUCUUCAAAGUUCUUUUUUCUUGCUGAAAUUUAAAAAAUGAUAACUUGUGAAACUUAAAUAAUUAAAUUAUAAAAUUAAAAUUAAUUUUAAGUUACAUAUUGAUUGAGAUGAUAGUAUAUUUUUGGGAUAGAUUUUCUCCCUUUAUUGAAUAACUAAAUAAUAUUAAUAAUUAAUCAUUUUAGCAACUUAAUUAUACUUUUAAAAUUUUACCUUAAAAAUUAGCAUUGAUUGAGAUGAGGUACACGCGCAAUAUGUGUAUCCCAAGACUAGUACAUAUAAACAAAAAGAGGUGCCCUCUACUCUAGACUAAGGUUGGAUCUCCCAAUUGAAUAAUUUAUUAUAUAGAACUGUAUAGGGUAAAAUAUGUUCAUACUAAAUGCUCGCAUGAUAAAGCGACACGUGGAGCCAAAGAUAGAAGGCAAUCAGGUUUGAAGGCAACGAUCUUGUUUGUUUCCAAAGGAAAUGAUGUUCAUGAAGGUGAAACUAGCCAACCGGUAGCAUUUAAUGGAGAAUAUUAUAUAGCAUUAAGUACAUAGAUCAUUACAGAGAAUAUGACAUUCACUGCCUACCGUUACACAUUCUUCAAUGGCCUUCAUAAUUAUCAUUAAAGAGGGGCUUGAUCUUAGGACCUUGUUCCCUAUGUGCAAUUAUAAAUAGUGAGCUCAACAACUAUUAUAAAGAACAAGAAUUUUCUGACAAGCUCAUACUAUACUCUAUUCAAAAGCUCAAUAAUAUUUUAUCUUCUUGCUUAUUAAUAUUGUUACUACUGCCUCCGAAAGCUCUGCUCCCGGGAUCAGAAUUUCUGUUGCUUUGUCUCGAUUUCAACGCUAAGUCUUACAUUCUUGUUCAAUUUAUUUAUUAUUUUGGGAUCAAAUCAAUUCACUUGUCUAUAAACCACAUAUAAAUUCAAUUAUACCAUUUUACGGGUAAACAGUUUACGUCCACCGUGAGGCUUAGACAGUUGUGUAAUUGAGUUGAUCCUUGCAUCUAUUACUAACCAGUUUGAUGUUUUAUUCUUAGCAAAAAACAUAGAAAAUGACAGAUAACGAUGUCAACAUCACAGACAAUGUUGAGAUCCAAGGAAAUCAACCUCAGCACGAAGAUUCGAUCAGUGAUACCCACAAUAAGAGGGAUGAGGCCAUGUCAGUUCAUGACGGGCAAUAUCCACGACAUGGUCGAGAGGUAAUUCCUGAUGAUGCUGAAGACGAGUACGUCGUUGAAACAUUAAGGAUCCUACGGGAGCAACAAAAGGCCAUUAUGGGCCACCUCUCAUGACAGGAUUAGGUCAUGACAGAGUUGAGGCAUGCAUUGUCGGGUGCUUCCAACAAUGCGAAUGGACGAGCUCCAGUUCCUCCAGGUGCUCCCCCAAAUCAAAUAACGUAGAGGGUCGAACAAUACCCCGAAGGGCGAAGUUGGCUUCGACAGGUACAGGGGGAACGGUAGUGGAUCCGGUAAUAACAAUGAGAAUGAUCCCUUUAAAACCGAACUCAUACGGUUUAUAAAGGAAAUAAACACCCGAAUGGAUCAGAUUCCGAGCAUACCACUAGUGUUGAAAGGACAGGACUCAAAUAAAUACACCCAAUUGUCGUUCAAACCAAGUGCGACACUAGGGUUAAUCCCGAAGUGAUUCAAAAUUCCAGACGUGCCGAAGUACGAUGGGACUUCGGACCCUCAGGAGCACAUCACCGCCUAUACAACGGCGAUGAAGGGAAAUGAUUUAGCUCUGCAUGAGAGUGAGUCAGUCUUACUGAAGAAAGUCAUGGAGACCCUCACGGAGGGAGCCCUGACAUGGUAUUCUCUCUUGCCCGAGAACUCAAUAGAUUCCUUCAAGAUGCUCGUGAAUUCUUUUAUCACGGCCCAUGCCGGGUACAGAAAGGUACAAGCCCGAAAGGCCGACAUAUUCAGGACUGCACAAGGAGAGUCCGAAUUGCUGAGAGAGUUUGUGACCAGAUUUUAGAAAGAAAGGAUGAUGCUCCCGGUCAUACCAGACGAAUGGCCAGCAGAAGCAUUCACUAAAGGGCUGAAUCUGAGAAGUUCCGAUGCUUUCUGAAAAUUGAAAGAAAGUGUGCUCGAGUUCCAAGAAAUAACAUGGGUAGAUAUUCACAACUGGUACGAGUCAAAGAUAAGAAUUGAGGAUGAUCAGCUUGGUUUCCCAACAUCGACCAAGGGUCGGGACCAGGAGAAGAAUAAGGACAAAUCAAAGGAUGAUUUUGACACAGAUCGACGGUCUUCAAGGGGUCGAUUUUUGCCAUAUAAACGGGCCGAAGGACGCGGUAGAGGUUUCUGAUCAACGGAUAUAUUCGCUAGCUAUAGGAGAGCGGACUACAGUCGGAAUAAUAGAUCACUACAAGACAAGGAGAUAUUGGGUUCCCGGGAAUCCUCUUACCCCAGGCUAUCCGAGUACAACUUUAACGUCAGCGUAGUGAAUCCAGUGUCGGCUAAGAGGAACAUUAAGAAAGCACGGUUCCUAAAGACAAUGAGAUCUGAUCCCACUCAAAGGGAUCCUAAUUUAUGUUGCGAAUACAAUGGGACCAAUGGCCCACGGACAGGGGACUUCCGGCAUUUGCGCGAGGAGGUGGCAGCAUUGCUAAAAACGACCAUCUCAAAGAAUUCUUAAGCGAUCGGACUAAAAAUAAUUACGGCCGCAAUCAUGAUAACUCGGAACCUUCAAAAGCAGGAGAAGACCCCUNNNNNNNNNNNNNNNNNNNNNNNNNNNNNNNNNNNNNNNNNNNNNNNNNNNNNNNNNNNNNNNNNNNNNNNNNNNNNNNNNNNNNNNNNNNNNNNNNNNNNNNNNNNNNNNNNNNNNNNNNNNNNNNNNNNNNNNNNNNNNNNNNNNNNNNNNNNNNNNNNNNNNNNNNNNNNNNNNNNNNNNNNNNNNNNNNNNNNNNNNNNNNNNNNNNNNNNNNNNNNNNNNNNNNNNNNNNNNNNNNNNNNNNNNNNNNNNNNNNNNNNNNNNNNNNNNNNNNNNNNNNNNNNNNNNNNNNNNNNNNNNNNNNNNNNNNNNNNNNNNNNNNNNNNNNNNNNNNNNNNNNNNNNNNNNNNNNNNNNNNNNNNNNNNNNNNNNNNNNNNNNNNNNNNNNNNNNNNNNNNNNNNNNNNNNNNNNNNNNNNNNNNNNNNNNNNNNNNNNNNNNNNNNNNNNNNNNNNNNNNNNNNNNNNNNNNNNNNNNNNNNNNNNNNNNNNNNNNNNNCAAAGGAAGAUGCAGAUGGACUACUGUUGUUGCACAACGAUGCCUUGGUAAUCUCUUUAAAUGUCUUAGAUUUUAAAAUUAAACGUAUUUUGGUUGACCUAGGAAGUUCGGCCAAUAUUAUCUAGUGGAGAGUGCUGGAGCAAGCCAAGCUAAUAAAAAGUAUCGUUCCGUCCACAAAACUCCUCGUCGGGUUUAAUCUAGAAAGCGUGACAAACCGAGGAGAGAUCCUGCUGCCCAUAAAUGUUGAGGGGGUGAUGAAGACGACCCUUUUCAAGGUAAUUGAUGGCGAUAUGAGCUAUAAUAUUAUCUUGGGGAGACCAUGGUUACAUGAGAUGGAGGUUGUGCCAUCAACAUAUUAUCAGUUACUAAAGUGCCCGACUACCGAGGGGAUUAAACAAAUAAGAGGAGACCAACCUACGGCAAGGGAGAUAAACGCAAUCUCAAUUUCCAGUAGCAAAGGGAAGGAAUGUGCAAAAUAGCAAUUAUAGGAACUGGCGCCUGCUCCCAAGCCGAGCGUAGUCAACCAGGGGGAGGAGUCGUUAGAAUCUAUCAGGUAUCGAGAUAUUUCCAGAUACCAAAAGAAACGGACGCAAUAAAAUCCACAGCAGAAGAACAUGUGCAAGUCGUGUUGUUCGAAAGGUUCUUGGAGAGAAAGUUCAACUUGGGGACAAGACUUAAAGUUGACUAUUUUGUGUGGUCGCAUGCAGAUAUGACAUGUAUCCCAUCAGAAGUGUCAGUGCAUAAACUAAGCCUACAGGAUCCCUCCGGUAAGACAGAAAAAAUGUCAUAUUGUCAAGGUCAGAAACAAAUUCGUCAAAGAAAAGGUAACUUGUUUGCUUGAUAUCGAUUCAAUCCGAGAGGUAAAGUAUCCUGACUAGCUAACUAACGUAGUAAUAAUUCCAAAGAAAAAUAAUAAAUUUUGCAGUAGACUAUAAGGAUAUAAAUAAGGCAUGCCCCAAAGACUCGUUCUCAUUGCCAAAUAUUGAUCAAAUAAUCGGCGCGACAGCUGGGUACGAGUUAAUGAGUUUCCUCUAUACUUAAUUCGGGUACAAUAAAAUCAAUAUGAACCCGGAGGAUCAGGAAAAAACUUCAUUCAUAACGAAUUUUGGUGCAUAUUGUUAUAAUGUGAUGCCAUUCGGGAUAAAGAAUGCUGGUGCCACUUAUCAGUGGCUCGUAAACAAAAUGUUCGAGAAACAAAUAGGGAAAACCAUGGAAAUUUACAUAGAUGAUAUGCUAGUUAAGUAUUUGAACGCAUGUGAUCAUCUUAAACACUUGUAAGAAACCUCUGACAUCCUAAGAAAGUGCAACAUGAAGCUUAACCCCAAGAAGUGUACAUUCAGAGUUAGCUCUGGUAAGUUCUUGGUAUUCCUAGUGUCACAAAGUGGGAUCGAGGUCAUCCCUGAUAAAAUUAAAGCCAUUGAAGCCCGGACCAGCUAUCAAGCAUGAAAAUGGUUCCAAGGUAGUCAAGAAGACUGUCCGCUUUAAGCAGAUUCAUUUCCCGGUCUUCGAAAAAAUGCUAUCAUUUCUUUUCACUCCUCAAAAAGAAGAACAACUUGAAAUGGACUAUGGAAUUCCAGCAGGCUUUGAAAGAUUUGAAAAGGUAUUUGUCAAGUCCUCCAUUAUUGUCAAACCAAGAGGAAAGCGAAUAGCUAUUGAUCUACUUAGCGGCCUUGGAGGUAGCGGUAAGUGUCGUUUUAGUCCGUGAGGACGAAGGUACAAAAUCUCCCAUCUAUUAUGUUAGUAAAAUUUUAACGAGAGCAGAAAACCGCUACCCGACUCUUGAAAAAUUGGCCUUAGCUCUCGUAGUCGCCGCUCGAAAACUUAGGCCUUAUUUCCAAUGUCAUCUGAUAGUCGUGGUGACCACCUUUCCCCUACACAAUAUCCUUCAUAAACCUAAACUUUCAGGUACGCUGGCCAAGUGGGCAAUCGAAAUGAGUGAAUUUGACAUAGAGUAUAAACCUAAGACUGUAAUUAAGUCACAAUUUUUGGCUAACUUUGUGGCCGAUUUCAGUCCGGGAAUGUUACUUUUGGCUACCAAAGAAGCAGUAAUGGUGUCAAAAUCGACAUUAGGAGUUUGGGUUUUGUUCACAGAUGGGGCUUCCAAUGUGAAAGGGUUCGGGCUUGGCUUAAUGCUAAUCACGCCCUCGGGAGAAAUCCUAAGGCAGGCCAUAAGAACUGUUCCUCUGAAUAACAAUGAAGCAGAGUAUGAAGCUUUAAUUGCAGGACUCGAGCUAGCCUGGGGACUAUACUCCGAGGUCAUAGAAAUCAAAUGCAAAUCCCAAUUGGUAGUAAAUUAGGUCUACGGGAUCUUCGAAACCAAAGAGGAUGCAUGCAGCAAUAUGUAAUCAAAGUCCAGGCUCUGUUCGCGCGGUUCGGGGAAUAGUCGAUUACCCACAUACUGAGAGAAGAAAACAUGGAGGCAGACGCACUAGCCAAUUUGGGAUCGUCCACCAAAAUGAAGGGAUCGGACUCUAGUACGGUCGUGCAGCUUAUGCAUUUGGUAUUGGACGCAGACAGCUAUUACGAAGUAAACGCGACCAAUUUGGUCUGGGACGGGAGAAAUGAGAUCAUAGACUUUCUCGAGCACGGAAAAUUCCCUGAAGAUCCCAAGGCAUCUCGAGCACUGCGCAGUAAAACAGCUCGAUAUAGCUUCAAGGGAGGUCAACUAUAUAGAAGAUCUUUACAAUGCCUGUUGGCCCGAUGUUUGAAAGCUUCCGAAGCUAACUAUGUCAUGCGAGAAGUCCACAAAGAGAUCUGCGAAAAUCACUCAGGGGCGGAUUCCUUACUGUUAAAAUUAAUUAGGGCAGGAUACUACCGGUCCCGGAUAGAACAAGACACCAAGGCUUAUGUUCAGAUAUGUGAUAAAUGUCAACGCUACGCACCAUUGGUACAUCAACUGGCAGAGCUACUACACUCAGUUUUGUCACCAUGGCCAUUCAUGAAAUGGGGGAUGGAUUUAGUCGGUUCGCUGCCCUCAGCCCCCAGUAAGGUAAGUUUUCUUUUGAUUUUAACUGACUAUUUUUCUAAAUGUGUUGAAGCAAGUCCCUAUCAGAAAAUCGGUAAACGCAAAGUGGUAGAUUUCUUGUGGGAAAACAUAAUUUGCAGAUUCAAGAUACCAAAAGAGAUAGCCUGCGACAACGAGCCAUAGUUUAUAGGCGCAAAGGUCACAAAAUUCCUUGAAGACUUAAAAAUCAAAAGGAUAACAUCAUCACUCUAUCACCCGAGCGCAAGCGUUCAAGCAGAAUCAGAAACAAGGUGAUUAUCCAAAAUCUCAAAAAAAAUAUUGGAAGCAGCCAAAGGCAAAUGGCCCGAAGAGCUACUAGGAGUACUAUGGGCGUACCGAACAACGGCCAAAUCAAGCAUGGGGGAGAAUCCUUUCUUUCUUGUGUACGGAGCAGAAGCCUUGAUCCCGAUGGAAGUAGGAGAACCUACCAUGAGAUAUUUUCGGGCGGAUGAAGAAAGAAACAAUGAAACAAUGUUGAUCAAAUUGGAGUUGCUCGACGAACGAAGGGACUUGGCGCAUAUAAGGAUUGCAACCCAAAAAUAGAGAAUGGAAAGAUAUUGCAAUCGAAGAGCCAAUCUCUGUUAUUUCAAAGUAGGAGACUUAGUUAAAGGAAAGUAACUCAUAAUACCCGGGAGCUUAACACAGAAAAGCUAGGUCCAAAGUGGGAAGGCCCCUAUCGAGUUUCAGCUAUCACUAGGAAAAGGGUCAUACGAAUUGGAAAAUCAAGACAAAGUAAAGUUGUCGAGCAACUGGAAUGUGGCACACCUCAAAAGAUACUAUUGCUGAUGAGCCUCGCCUAUACUGAAAGUAUGUGCUACACUCUUUUUUCCUUCGCCCAGUUUUUGUCCCAAAUGCAUUUUUCUGGCAAGGUUUUAAAUGAGGCAGCAACAGAAAGCCUACCACGAAGGAAGCUUUGUCAGCAAAAAUAAGACCUUUAAAUGACAAGGCAUGCAAGAAAUGAGCUACUACAGAGCGGUUAGAUAGUCUUUUGCUCGGUAGCAAAGUUCCUACCGGGAAAUAAAAUUUGCUAUCGAGCCAAAGGUUACCCGACCGUUCACGAGUGCAAGUCACUGGGGGGAUUGUUAGAUAAUCUUUGGCUCCAUAGAAAAGUUCCUAAGUGGAAAUGAAGUUUGCCAUCGAACUAAAGAUUAUCUCACCAUUCACUAGUGGAAUCAUCAAAGAUGCAAGACUUCCAGUGUUCAAAUUCGCAUUCUUCGCAUUCGAACACUAGGGGGGAUAAUAUGAGAAUAUGACAACAAUGACUACCACAUCGACCGGGACUAUGAAAUCCGAAAACAAAGUUGUAUUAUCGGGACCGGGGACUGCGCGACCAGCCUUAUAGAAACAAGUUGUACAAGUUAGCCACAAAUAAUGGCAAUUUCUUUUUUAGCACAACGAAUGCUUAUGUACUUUUGAAAAUGAAAGGAAUAAAGUAAAUUCCUUUUAUUUUUAUCUUGUUUUUCGUCCUAUCGAUGAAUUAAUUUUAUCAUCUAAAAGUUAAACAAGUACUUCAAAUGCUAGUGUUGUAAUGAACAUGAGAUGUUCUCUUCAAGAGCACCGUAAAUAUAAGAGGGCCCUCUAUUAUAAAACCCUCACAGUAAAGGGUUGAUUCCGGAAGAACUUAUGCCCGGGAUCCAAAUGUUAUCGGGGAAAAAUACACCUAAAGCCUUGCAUAAUUCGACGCAAAGAGAAAACUUGUGCAAUACUCGAACGGAAAGUACGCAAAGAGAAAAACUUCCGCAAUACUUAAACGGAAAAAUACUUUUAUAUAAAACAUACGUGCCAAGCAGCAUAAGUACAAAAAUAUGGAAAGGAAAAGGAAAAGUGAAAAGAAGGCAAAAAGCUAAGCUACUCAAUCCGGAGGAAGGGAAGCAUUUGCACCCCAGGAGAUGUAGGCGGGUCCGCCGCCGACUCAAUAUCUUGUCCUUCACCAUCUUGGCUUUCAGCAUCAUCCUCUUCUGGUUUUUCUUCAAUUUCCCGGAACAUGAAACCAGAAUCAGAAGAGUCGGUAGCAUCAGGUUGAACUAAGAGACCCCUAUGGGCAGUUGACUUCUGCUCACUAGCCUUAAAGAUUUCGGCAUCAAAGUCAACGACGCCCGCUUUGGCCUCUUCCAAGGUUUUUUUCCUCAUGAUAUACAUUGAAUAUGUGUUUUCAACAAUGAGGGAAGCUGCUCGGCGCUGAAUUUCUUCCUUAAGACGGUCAACCUCGGUCAAAAGGUUAUCCCGCUCAGAUCUAGUGGCCUGGAGGAUGACAUCAAGGUCAUAGACAGUGGAGUUAAAAACUUUAUUGUUCUCCAUGACUCUCUUAUGCCUCUUUUCCAAUCGUACACACUUCUCCUCGGCAACAACAACCUCUUAAGCUUUGGAGUUCAAGGCCGCCUCCAAAUUAUUCAAUCUUGCAGUAGAGGAAGCCUCGCGAUCGGAUAUAGCAAGAAUGGCAUUCUGGACCUCAACCUACUUUGCCUUAGCCUUUUCAAAUUGUACCCUUAAUAGGGCAGCCUCUUGGCUGAGGGUCACUACCUCUUGCUCACUUUGCUACAACCGAACCUCCAACUCAACAGCCUCAACAGCUUGAGUUUCCAGUGUAGGAGGCGAGCAGCCAUUCAAUCCCGCUCGGCCAACAGUUGGUCUCGCUCAUAGGUAAGUUUCUCCUUGUCAAAGACCAACCUCUGAAGGCCCUCGGAAUUAAAGAAGUUAGCCUAUAAAACAAAAGUACAAAUUAAAAUCCCUACCAUUACAAAGAUAGAAAAAACAACAGAGGAAACAAAGAUGGUAUUGUCGCUGCGUUGUGCAUGGCAUUGUUCAAGAAACACUCUCCUGAGAGAGAUUGUAUUUUAUUCUUAUCCUUUUCUGAAGCCAGAGGCUUCAGUAAUUAGCAAGUUCCACCGGCCAGGACAGCAGAUGACAUCCGGUAGAAACCGAGAGAGAAACACUCUUCCUCCUCUGAGGAUCUUCAGAUGGGACAAAAUAAUUGCGCCCCAAAUUCCCAUAAACUAGGGAAGAGGGACAUCCUCCUCUCGGACGCCUGCGGCCGGUGGAGAUGAUGUAGUAGUUGCUGGAGGCAAAGGCAAAGUUGACGAAGAAGGAGAUGAAGUUGAUGGCGUUGUAGGUUGUGAAGCAGCUGCGGCAAAAAUAAUGCUAGUUGUUGGUUAGUCAUAAAUCGAAGACGGGAGAGACCCGGUACCCAGCCUCACGGUAUGACCGACUAGGAUUCGGAAGAGAGAGUGUGCAUCUUCCACCAUAUCAUAUGCCCCCCCCCCCAGAGCGUCGGGGCGUCAUCCUCGGUUAGUAUAACUAGCUCAACAGAGCAUUCUGUUAAAAUAAUAAAGGUCGUUGUCUUCUAUGUAAAGAAGCCCCUUCAUCACUAGCUCCUCCAUCAUUAUCGAUCACCAUAGUGUCUCUGGUUGGCUCGGGCGCGGUGCUCAUCACCACAGCGUCCGCGGAUUGCUUGGGCGCGGCGCUCUUCGCCUUUUUAUUUUUGCCCCCGGCCGUGGAGGAACGUCGCCUUUUUUGUUGCUUGUUCUCCGGUCGGGGACACUGAGAAGAAACACUUGCACUGGUAGAAGGCCCGGUGACACCCGUUCGGGUAAAAACCUCUUACAGCAACCUUGCAGAAUCAGCCUGAUCAGCCGAAUCAGCCAAAACGUCCUCCUCGGGGGCGGUAACAGAGCCCUGCGGAAGACCUGAAUUCAACAGGAAAGAAAGGUUAACUAAUUUUCCUAUACAAGAAGUAAAAACAAGAUAAGUUUAUCCUACCAUAUUUUUUGGCCUUCCACCCAUAUUUAAGGGCUAAUUCUUUCCACUUGCGGGUCCCAGGCGUAGUGACAUCCAGAAUCUUCUCGACCCACUGGUCCAAGUCUUCAACCCUAGGUAGUGUCCACCGAGUUGCUGAAAUAGUGAAAGAAGAAGGAUCAGUAACAACAUGAGAAAAUCUUUAACUAGAAGAAAAAACAAACGAUGAACUUACGAGUACGGUUCCAUAAUUCAGGAAAUGAUGGAGUUGUGGUCGGAAUGAUGUCUCUGGUGGCAACUACAAUGAACCGCUUCAUCCAUCUGCGGUCGUUGUCAUCAUCCAUGCUGGUUAGUAAAGCAUGGUGGCCACGUUUGCUGAAAUUUAUCAUUCCCCAGCGAAAAAUCUUGGGGAAAUAAAGGUUCAUCAGUCGAGCCAGGGAUAGCUCUUCUCCCGUCUCCUGGCAUAGACGCCGAAGACAAGCAAUAGUCUGCUACACAGAAGGGCUCACAUGUGCCAAGCAGACUUGGUAACGAAGGCAAAACUCUAAGAUAACGAAGUCAAGCCCCCUGCUCAAUGAGAACGGCCCCAAAGUAAAAGGAUACGUAUAAACAUACGUAAAACCCUUCUUGUAGAAGGUUACCAGCUCCCUCAAGUCAGGAGAGAUGAUGUUUAAAUCUUGACAACCACAAUCUUUAUUCACAACAAGGAUGCUAGAAGAGCGGAUGGAAGAGGGAUAUAUGCCAACAGCCCAUGUUCGAGGGUUUGCAGAAGAUUACUUCUCUUCAAAGUCCUUAGUUGCAAUAAGCUUUCUGGGAAUGAUGGUGCUCACCAUGGGAGUAGCAUCAUCAUCAGCACUUUCUUUGUUCUUCGAAGCACUUGAAUUUCUAGAAGAGGAGGCCAUUGUUAUCAUAAGAGAAUAAGGGUUUUUUCUCUGAAGAAGAAGAUUAGAGGAAGUGGAAAAUAAGUGUGAGUUGAGUAAAGAAAGUUUGAGAGACUUUGGAAAAUUAUGAAGUGUAAAAGGAGAAUAUUGAUGCGUAUAAGUAAAAGAAUAGGCGGCUAAAAUCGUGGUCAUAAUUACCUCGAUAACCGGCAAAAGAGUUGUUGAAUCAUGGGAUGAUGCAUUUUGGGGGCAUUAAAUGCGGAGAGACGUGUGUCUAAUCAACCGUCAAAAAUUUUUCAGAGGGGGUCAGAGAAUUUUCCGCCAAGAAAGAUAUCUUUACCAACUUCCCGGCGACACAAGGUUAUGCCAUCGGAAAGCGGGGGAACUAUAUGUAUAGGGUAAAAUAUAUUCAUAUUAAAUGCUCGCAUGAUGUGGAGCCGAAGACAGAAGGCAAUCAGGUCUGAAGGCAACGAUCUCGUUUGUUCCCGAAGGGAAUGAUGUUCAUAAAGGCGAAUUAAAUAUCUGCCACCCGGUAGCAUUUAAUAGAGAAUAUUCUAUAGUAUUAAGUACAUAGUCCAUUACAGAGAAUAUGGCAUUCACUGCCUACCGUUACACUUUCUUCAAUGACCUUCAUAAUUGUCAUUAAAGAGGGGCUUGAUCCUAGUACCUUGUUCCCUAGGUGCAAUUAUAAAUAGUGAGCUCAACUAUUAUUGUAAAGGACACGAAUUUUUUGACAAGUUCAUACCAUACUCCGUUCAAAAGCUCAAUAAUAUUUUAUCUUCUUGCUUAUUAAUAUUGUUACUACUGCCUCCGGAAGCUCUGCUCCCGGAACUAGGAUUUCUACUGUUUUGUCUCGAUUUUGACGCUAAGUCUUACAUUCUUAUUUAAUUUAUUUAUCAUUUUGGAAUCAAAUCAAUUCACUUGUCUAUAAACCACGUAUAAAUUCAACUAUACCGUUUUACGGGUAAAUAAGAACUUAUUUUCUUUUUUCGCUUAUAAAAGGAUAACAUAUUACAACGACUUAGUCUGAUUACAUACAAAAUGGGAGUCCAAAAUGGCAGUCUACAAUAGUAUUUACUUAUUGAACUUAUACAUAGGUUGAGUUGUGUGUGUGUGUGCGCGGUUUUUUUUUUUUUGGGGGGGGGGGGGGUUAGGGCAAAAGGAGGAGGAGAAAAUGAUGGCUUAAUUUUUUUAUAAAAGAACGAAUCUUCUAAAGUAGAUAUUAGGCAUAAAAAGGCCAUAAUUAGAGGUUGAACUGAUGUUUAGGAAAAGAAGUCGCGUGAAGGCCACAACUUAUAAGUGGCAAUCAAUUUGCUGCGGUAGUUACAUUCUAAAGUAAUUAUUUAGAACUCGCCAUUUUGGACUUGAAAACUCAGUUGACAGAAUUGACUAUUAAUUAAAGCUUGCAUUUUUUGACAACGGUGGUUGUGGCAUGCUUGGUUGAUUAGGUCAUUCAUCAAUGAAGCAGCUAUGACUACAAUCUAAUAUUAAAGGAUACAUUGUCGGAAGCGUGUUAGAAUUGUUGGGCUCAGUAAUUCUAUUUAAGAUUUUAAAGUCAUAUGUGCUUGCCCAAAAUAAUUCUAUAAGAAGAGAAAAAAGAGUUUAAUUGUGAGUGCUCACUCAGUACUUUUUUUUAAAAUUUAUAAUUGCCUAUAUAAAUCUAUUAAAUUUGAUUAAAGGCAAUGGGUGCUUAAGCACACAUAAUACUCCGGGUAGAUCUGCUUCUCGUUGGGAUCUCACUAUUUUUAAUCAGAGGUUAACUUUAGGAAUAGAAAACCUUUUGAUGUGAAAUAUUUUAUUUAUCUUGUUACCGAGUUUACUCAUCAUGAAUCCGAUAAAAAGGAUUAAAGAAUACCACUAGAUCGAGUGAUUCUAUUUCCGCUUUUAUUCAGGAGUGCUUCAUCUCUAAUGUGAAACUUUUCAACGUAAAUUCAAAUUUAAUCGGGCUCAAAUAACAAAUGAGAAACAAAAAGAGAUGGUAUUUAAUUGAAGACUCAUAAACUGCAUUCGUACAAUGAAUUAGGUACUAGUUAAUAAGGUUGCAUCUGUGGACCAUGCUGUUUUGGCACAUGCUAGGCUAGAUCCUUUUCUACUCGCAUGAAUUGCUUUCUACACCCAAAUGCAUGUGCAGUCCACAGGCCUGAUAUAUUAUAAGUUCUGAAAUAUAUGGGUUCGAGAUUUUAAAUCUUUUAAAUUAUUGAAUUUUAAAUUAAUAAUUUAUAAAUAUUAAUAAAUUUCUUAAGGCAAAACAUGGUUUGUAUUAAAGUUACUGGGUUCGGCCGAACCCAUAAUUUCUACCCUCCCUCCACCUCUGUCCAGUAAUAUUAGUGGAAGUUCAAGCCUUAACUAAUCCAUACUUAUUAGACAACAAUUUAUAUCUAUAGGUUUUUAUGAUUCAAACAGAAACAGAGGGAGUCAAGCGACAUUUUAGCAAGUCAUUUGAUAAACUUGUAGUGCUUUUCAUAGGAAAGGAUACAAAAUACAGGUAUUUUAAAAAUACUUUUAUAUUAGAACUAAAUUACUGCUGCAUAAUUAAACACUAUCGAUCUCUUUAUAUACCUCACAAGCAGCAGCUAGUUCCGUUUUGCUAGCCUCACAAAUAAUUAAUGUCAUUAAUUAUGUUAGCGACCAAGAUCAUGUAACAAGUAGUACCCUAGAUUAGGAUUGGAUCUCGUAAGUAAUUAGGGGUCGUAUCCUUACCCGAUUAGGAUUAUAAUCCAUUGUUGAUUGAUAUUAAUUAGCUAGUACCGCUACAAAUUUCUAAACUGAUCUUUUGGGAAAGGGAAUUUAUUUUUUCCACCUUCCAAAAAAAAAGAAGAUUAUUAUGAAAAGACAAGAAAAUAAAACGACUAUUUUCGAAAGACAAUAGUGUUGUUUUUCUUUUUGUUUUUUUGGCCAAAGUCAAUUUGCUGAUCAUCUUCUAAUAAAUUUAUUAAAAUUCACAUGCACCAUUUCGGACGUAGAAAUAGAAACUCAGUUCAGUCGACAUGGUUGAUAAGAAAAGCCUGCAUCUUUAGACCUUGGUGGUGUCACGUGUGGCUUUACUUGGUUAGGACAUUAUAUAAUUUAUCAACUGCUUAGCUAAUCAAGAUUCAUGUAGUAGAAGCCCAGCUAUAUAAAAGAGCAAUUCUAGCGAUUUUUAUCAAAGAGGACUUUAUUCUCAGGCAAUUACUAAGAAUAGGAAUGACAAAGUAAAAAAUCAAACAAAGGUCAGUAGUAACGUAACAGCAAGAAAUAUGUUCUAUAUUCAUCACUAAUUUACUAUGGAUUCCGAAUUAUUUGAUUUAAAAUGGUACUAAACGUCCAUUUUCUUGAAUACGUUACAUAUAUUUCUUAUGUAGACUUUGAAGUACUAUGAGAAGGUCCAAUAAUUUGACUUGAAUUUGCACAUAAGAGCAACCUUUAAUUUUGGUGUACUCUUAAAAGUGAUUACUAAAGCAGCUUAUGAAAUCUUGCAGUAGCCUUUUCCCUAUCCCUAUCCCUAUGUGUCUGUGAUGUAACUUUCUAAUGUCUACUAUUAUAACUAAAAAGUAAUUUUACUUAUAUACAACUGAUAUUGUGAAGAUUUUAUAUGCUAUUAAAUCUAUUUUGAAUGAACUGAUAGUGUAAAAUUAUUGUUAUACUGGUGAUAUAUAUAAGUUAAACAUUUAAAAAAAUUUGGAUUAUAAACUUGCAAUAUGAUCGAAAUACACCUUAAUAAUGCGAGAAGGGGGUUGUUGGGGAUCAUCUUCUUCUUCCUAUCCCCAAAAAAAAAAAGAGGAGAAGAAAGGAAUAAUUUCUCAUGUGGAAAAAUGAUUUGUUAAAAGCUUUUUUGUCUGAUCGAAAAGAACAAGGAAAGACAUUGUUGUAAAGCCAGAAUCCCAGACAAGUUAGGACUAACGAUUCAUUAAAAUUUGCACAACUCAAAUUAAAACACCUUUGAUUUAUGUCAAAUAUUAUCUAUUUUUCUCUUACUAUCUUACUUUUUGCUUUUCUAGUGUAGCCAUACAAAAAUAAUUUGCUUUCACGGAGGAAUUAUUGGCUGAAAAUAACUGAAAAUUGUAAAAUAGGAUGGUGUUUACCCUAAAAAAAAACGGAUAACAAUUGAAUUUAUAUAUGGUUUUAAUAUAUGCGGAUUAAUUCAAUACAAAUGAUAAAAAAAUGUUAGAAUAAACAGAUAAAGAACGUAAUAAAUUGUCAAACCAAUUAAGGAGAGUGACCUCGGACUCAGUAACAGCUUAAUGAAAUGCAUGUCUUCGAUCCCGGGCUCACACUAAUGAAGAACUGAUGAACAAAAGUAAGAACUUUGAAUAAUAGAGAAAAUAAGAACUCUGAAUAAUAGAAGAAAAUAAGAGUAUAUUGCCUUGAUACGCGCGUUACAAUAUCCUCUAUGAAUAAUAAGCUUUCCACUUUAUAUAGUAAGGGGUUUUUACCCUAAGUAUAAUUCUAAAAAAGGUAAAGAUCUUCCGUUUCGACGAUCACUGAUUUUUCGCCGAUACGAGCCGAGAUUCGCGCUGUGAUAUUCGGUUAGGCACAGAUAUCACGGCCAUUUGUUAGUCGUGUGCAGCUGCUUGGUAAUGCUUUCCGAAGUCUCAAUCCUUAAAUCAGACCUCGAGGAUAUGGCCCUAAUAUCCCCGAGGGCAGGUGUUUGCCCGAGCCCUGAUACGAGAAGUUCUUCGUUCUCACUCUGAUUCAUUAUGGUCACGUUCCUGCUUCGCUUGGCUCACCGGGAAGUCGAGUCAUGCAGCGGGCUCGGUUUUUCCUGUAAUUGAAUUCCUAGGUUAGGUAGAGAUACUAGUUCAGCCAUUUGAAAAUUUUGUAACCUAGUAAGUAAGUUCUUCCAAUCAAAAUCACACAAAAAAAUGGCACUUCUUGUCAUUUCUAUUCAAGAGGAAACAUGUGGACAUCCAUCUAACCACAAUUAAUGUAAAACAAACGAACAAACAGACACUAUCUGAUUAACGUUUGCAUUUUAUAGAAGUUCGUUUUUCCACGAUGGAUAUAGGAAAUGUUAGUAAAUUCAAGUGACCAUCCCAAAAAUAUUUAUUAUUGCCUUUUCCCAAUUUUAUGUUAUAUCCUUGCUUAAAGUGUCUUCUUACCUAACACUUUUAAUGUUGCAAUACAAGUUAGUAGCGUUACUCGAGAUGUCAGUAACGAGCUCACUCUUUUGGACGAGUAACUUUAUUUUAUAUAAUUCGUGUAACGUGAGAACUUAGAGAUAAGAUAUGUUUUCCAAAUAUAACUUUGUCUUGACUUAGUUGUUAAAUAAAUAUUUGUUGCCUUCAAACAACUAAAAAGAAAGAAUUGUUAUUAAAACUUAAAAGUACAAUUUUUAGAAUUCAGUUUCACUAUUAUAAAAAACCUAGCUAAUCCAAGAGUGAAGGUACCAAUUUUGUCGGCAAAAUGUAAAAAAAAAAAAUGCGACGCAUCACACUUUAAUUUAAUACCAACCAAAAUUCUUUUAUUGGUUAGCAAAAUUUUGGACUUGAAACCACAAUUAGGUAGGGGUAUUUUUCCCUUGAGCUAGUGAUUACAAGAAGAAAAUCCAAGAGAGGGAAUUAAAAUGAAAUAAAAUAUAAGGGGAAAAGCAGAAGAAGAGGAGAGAAAACAGUUGAUAGGGAGAAGUCCCAGAUGUCGCUGACAACUGCGCCUUCUUUUCAAAUCUGGCGGAGGUUCAUCGCAGCCUCCCCUAUAACUUGUCGUUCAAAAGUAUCCAUAUCCAAAUCCUCUCUUCUUAAAAGCCAUAGAAGAGCUGCCUCUCUCCGCUGCUAUUCCUCUUCUAGUGCUACAAGAAUGGCUGACGCUAACAUGGACGCUGUUCAGCGCCGUCUCAUGUUUGAAGACGAGUCUGUUCUCUUUUCUUAAUCCCUCAUUUGAUCAUUUUGGUUAUACUAUUUUUCCCAAAUUAAGGAAAUAUAAUUUCUAAGCUCCUCCUGUUAUUGAAAGAUAAGAUGAAAAAAUUAAUUUUCUACGAUACAGGAUUAGGUGAAUGUUGUAAAUGUUUUUUUUUUAAUUAUAUCUAAACCCUGGGAUAUGAAAGUCUAAAUAAUCUUGUGAUACUUGCUAAAUUGCUUGUUUUCUAGAAUUUUUACCACCAGGUGUUUGACGAAAUUAUUUAGAAAAGCAGUUCUAUUAUCUGCUUUCUAGCAAAUGCUUUUUUAAUCUGGAUCUAUGUACUUACUGGUGCAACCAUUUUCCAGCCCCCUUUUUUGCUAAGUUUAACACGUUUUCCACGUUUUGACUCUUGCAGAUGUAUUCUGGUGGAUGAGAAUGAUCGUGUUGUUGGUCAUGAUACCAAGUACAAUUGUAAGUUGUGCUUCGAUGUUUCUGUGUAUUGCUCUUAAUGCAAUAUUGUCUUACCUCUUUCGAAAUGUAUUUGCCAGACUGGCUAUAGUUCCUUUUGAUUGCUUUGAUUUUUCUGUGUUUUGCUCUUAAUGUUAUAUUAUCCGGAAAAGGACCAAAUAUACCCUUGUACUUUCGAAAAUGGUCUAAUAAUAACUCUUGUUAUACUAUUGUGCUAUACAUACCCUUCCCAUCAUGCUUUGGAACAAAUAUACCCUUAUUUUGGAUGGAGUGACACGUGUCAGCACCAAAUGAAAACGACCCUUUUUUUUUUACCCGAUCCGUUUUAAAAAACACACCACCCGACCCGUUUUAAAAUUCAGUUUUUUUAAAGCAUAUAUUUUGUAAAAUCUGGAUUUUUCUUUUUGUAAAAACUGGAAAAAAAAGGAAUUUUCAAAAUAUAUAUUUUUAAGUCUUUUCAGUUUUUUUUUAAGUAUUUUUUUUUGUAAAAACUGAAAAAAAAAAAAAUGCUUUAAAAAAAAGACUCUCCUAAAGCAGUGGACUACAUAUGCAUUAAUCUUUUAAAAAAAAACUGAAAAUAUUUUGCUAAAUCUCUUUUUUUUCAGUUUUUACAAAAAAAAUACUUUUAAAAACUUAAAAAACCGAAAAAUAUAUAUUUUGCAAAUUCCUUUUUUUUUUNNNNNNNNNNNNNNNNNNNNNNNNNAAAUAGGUCGUUUUCACCUUGUGCUGCCACGUGGCACUCCAUCCAAAAUAAGGGUAUAUUUGUUCCAAAGUAUGACGGGAAGGGUAUAUAUAGCCCAAUAGUAUAACGAGGGGUAUUCUUAGACCAUUUUCGAAAGUACAGGGGUAUAUUUGGCCCUUUGCCGUAUAUUAUCUUACCUCAAUACUAUCAAGGGAGUCUGAUGGUUAAAAGUUCUAGAAUUGUAUUUGAGAUAAGACAUGAGGCAGAUUUCAAUAUCUUGUUACCCUUAAAUGUGAGGUUGUUAUCCUCGUUGCUCUCUGCUCUCUAGGUGAUAGCACCUUUCCGAAAAUUACUACUAUGUGCAUAUCAAAUUGCUUAUUGUGGAAAUACAUCUUUUGUUAUUCUGCAGAUAUUUCGUGGAGACCUUCACUUAAUUUUGUUUUUGGACAAUCUUUUUCUCAUUAACUGUCUUGGUGAAUGUUACCUGAAUUGAUACUGGUGAUGCACUUCUUAAUUGAGCCAUGUUAAGUAAUUCUUGGGCCGUCUUCUUAUUUUUAGCUAUCUGAUAAACUAGAUUGCAUGUGGCUUAACUUGGUAUGGUGACCUAGCUAGAAAUUUAACUUUUUUCCCUGACAGCUUCUAAGAGUUAUGAUCUCUAGGGAGCACUCUCAUUGUAAUUGGAAUGAACGUCCUAUGAUUCAAUCUAAACCGUUUAUCUGUUUUUGCAUUCUUUUGUCCAAGAACAUUGGCGUCCAUCUCCCCAACAAGAUGACAGUGAUCUUCAUGCUUAUUCUAUAGUGGUUACCUAAUGCAAGCUGUUUUGUUGAAACAAGUAAUGCAUUUUCUUAAAAAGAUAUCUCCAUAAUUCAUCAGACUGUUCUCCAAAUUAGCCAGGUCCAAUCUUCUCCACCUCAAACACAAUAUUACAAUUGCUACAAGGAAACAGCAAUCAGAUUUAGUGGGUCUCUUUUCUUGAAAUAUUUGCUGAAAUGAUUGUGGACUGUUCAUCCAGAAGCUUAACAACCCAAAAAGAGAACUGUAGAACUUAGUAAAGAAAAUUCAAUACGAGGAAAAAAAACAACACAGAGAAAAGAGAGAGAGAUCUUUACAUAUAUGGUAACAAUGACAGGGAGAUAAACUUGGAAACCCAUGUUUAUGUAAAAUGCGCCUCGAAGAAAAAAUAAUUAGGUGGAGACAGGAAAAAUCAAAAAUAACAUUUUGGUUUCUUAAAUCUGAAAGACUUGUAAGUUCUAGCUGGCACUCCUGUCUUAAUUUUGAUUGGAGUGAGAAGCCCAAGAGAUCGGAACUUUAGCUUAUAAAGGGGUUAGCAAUCAAAUUCCUCAUGCUUGCUUAAGCUAAUAGAAAAAAAUGAGAAAUGGAGACUGGUGAAGAGGAAAAGUAUGCAUCUUUGCCUGCCUUGUUCACAUUUUUAAUAAAUUAAGGACUAUGGUUAUUUAUCUGCUGGCAAGUAAACAGUGACAGUAACAACAAAGGUUUAAAGGGUGAUAACUAUCUUGCUUUUAGCCAGUAAUAGUAAGAGAGUGAUAUGUUUAAUUCAACUCAGCCAGGAUAAGUUGAAGGAAAUGUUAGCUAAGUGAUGCUUCCGUUAGGUCUGUCUCAACGACCAUUUUCUCAUCUCUCCUUUUGCUUUUCCACCAUCUUCCAUUUUAAUGCCUCAUGCACAAACAAAGUCUUCGAGUACCUGGGAGCUUUUAGUACUACUGAUAGAGUACGACAUGCUAAUAUUUUGUCGUAAUAUGUUGUCAUGUCUACCAAUAUACAUGUUUUUCGCAUUAGAAAAACGAAUAUACCCUUUCAAAAGGAUGUUUAAAACCUUACGUCCCUUAAGUUAUUCUGGUAUCAUUGUUCUGGAAGUACCUCUUACAUCUAUCCACCAAGAACCUUAUGGCCUACCAGAAUUAAUUUGCUUAUUCUCCAAAGUUUAGUCAUUGUUGUCUUUAAAGCAAGAGGGGAGGCGCGAUUUUAUGCCCCUUUGACCAGAUUGUUGUUAAUAUGCUUCCACAUGUUGGUAGUUCACUUGAGGAUUCAUCAUGAAUUGGCAAGCUUUAUGCUGACUGUCAGCCUACCGCAACCCUCCUUUAUUCGGGCUUAGGACCGGCAAUGUGAGCAAGUUCACACAAGCAGAGUUAUGUUGGUAGUUCACUUAUAAGAAAUAAAUUAAAAUAUCAUAGCUAAUGUUGAUUAAGUUAGUCACUAUGCACCUAUUGCCUGUUCCAAUUUACAUUCAACAUUAAGUACGUUAGUAAUUUGACACAUCUAUAAUGAAGUGCACAAUACGUUGGUUAGAAGCAUAGUGAUAAGUCAGUGGCAAAAAAUUCAGUGUCAUAUUUAAAAAUAGUUUCUUUCAUUAAUAUCCUCGUCUUUUUAUGGGUUAGUGUUGGAGGGAUUUGGAGAAGUUGGGGUAGGGACUCCUGUUAUAUGAUGAGCUGGAAUUGACAAAAAUAGUAUUUUAUUUAUUUGUCUCAAUUUCAAUUAUCUUCCAUAUAGUUUUGGUUUUGUUCAUGUGUGUGAGAGAGAAUGAAAACUUCCGCAGAAGUGAUCUUGGCUAUAUAACUUUGUGACAACUUACAUUUUGCUCAAUUAGGUGUACAAAGGAGGUGGAGGGAAGUAAAAAAAGGAGGAUAUGGGUAUUUCUACCCAUAAAAAAAGGAUAGGGGUAUUUCCAAUGUCUAUUAAAGAAUUACCGGAGACAAGAGUGGGUUGCUCUAGUGGUGAGCACCCUCCACUUCCAACCAAGAGGUUGUGAGUUCGAGUCACCCCAAGAGCAAGGUGGGGAGUUCUUGGAGGGAAGGGAGCCGAGGGUCUAUCGGAAACAGCCUCUCUACCCCAGGGUAGAGGUAAGGUCUGCGUACAAACUACCCUUUUGUUGUUGUUAACGAAUUACUGGAGGAAUAUGCAAACUUUAAUUUAGUGUGUUGAAACCCUUCUUGACCGGAAAGGAAGGAGGAAGUAGGAAGAUGCUUGGAUAAGUUUAGAAGUUGGUCAAACUAGUUUUUAAGCACUUCUUGGCUUAUUUUGGUGUUUAGUAGACAAAACAAGUGCUUUUAAGCCAAAAGCCAUAAGUUGGUAAGUUGGACCACCCCAACUUAUGGCUUUUUAGCUUAAAAGAUCUUUGAGUUUGAUUGAGCAUUUUACUUUGUUAUCCCUCACGUUCUCCUAUAAUUCCCAAAAUACUCUUCGCUACACUAAUAAAAGCCCUAACUCCUCCCUGGAAGUGUGAGGAUUACCAAGUAAAAUGCUUCUCCAAGAGUUUUUAAGCUGAAAAGUCACAAGCUGGUCGUGCCCAACUUAUGGCUUUUGUCGUGUUUUGGUUUAAAAGCACUUGGCGUAGGAGCACUUUCGGUGCUUACCAAACACCACAAUAUGCCAAAAAUAUGCUUUAAAGCUUGUCAAGAAGUAUUCUUGGGGUACCCAAGCACCCUCUAAGGCUUGUGUAAAGAAUUAUUCGUUGUUUCUUUGCCCAGCAUUUCUCUCAACACUGUGGAUAAAAAAGUGAAGUGCUUCAAGUGCAUUCCUACAUCGGAUAUUUUAAUUACUUAUUCAAGAGAAUGAAAGAUGUUCAACUACAAUGUAAUUAUCCUUUUGAAAAUCCUUAAUCUACAAACGACCAGUACCUCUUCUAUUUGAUUAGGAUAUUGUAUAUGUGAUGGUAUUGUCCCUCAUCUGAAUUAGACAAUGAUUUUUGGCAUGUUCUCAUGUGCUGUGAACUUUCUUAUGUCUUUUGUGUUGAAAACUUGAAAUUAGAUGGACAACUUUCUUGUAAUUCCUUUCUUUUUGUAUUUGAUCUCUGGACGCAUUUGAGACUGCCUUUUCUUUUUUCUUUAUGUUUUUCAUUUUUGGGUAAUAUAUUUAUGUUGUGAGAUGCAUUUUUCAAGUGACCAUUAUCUUAAAUUUGUUACCAAAGGUUCUCUCAUAUUAUAUAUAACUAAUAAUCCAUAAUUGCAGGUCAUUUAAUGGAAAAGAUCGAAGCUGAAAAUUUGCUGCAUAGAGCUUUCAGUGUAUUUCUGUUUAACUCAAAAUAUGAAUUGCUUCUUCAGGUGGGUGGUAAAAAUAAUUCGCUGAAUUUUGCCUUUAGGUUUGACAAAUUUUCUCUGAAAUGGCUGAUAGAUGUAACUUGUCGAAUUGUUCUGUGGGUGAAAUGGUGGGAGUGUCCAGUAUGAUUCCAUCUUAGUAUUUAGAUAACCUAUCAAACUAAUUGACUAAGCUGUAGAACUGGUUUACAGUAGAUGUAUCUUAAUUCUUGGGUUGUAUGCGUAAUUUUAUAACUCUGAAUGAUGAAGCACUUAAUAUAUACUGUCUUAUUCUAUGUACAGCAACGAUCAGCAACAAAGGUGACCUUUCCUUUGGUAUGGACUAACACCUGCUGCAGCCAUCCACUCUACCGAGAGUCUGAGCUCAUUGAGGAGAAUGUUCUUGGUAUAUUUUCUGCUUAGCUAAAAUGUCUAAUUACAACCACGUUUUCUUCUUCACCUCACUCUGUAUCGUCAACUGCCAGGGGUAAGAAAUGCUGCACAAAGGAAGCUUCUUGACGAAUUGGGCAUUCCUGCUGAAGAUGUCCCAGUUGACCAGUUCACCCCAUUGGGUCGUAUACUUUAUAAAGCUCCAUCCGAUGGGAAGUGGGGAGAACAUGAACGUAAUAACUCAAUCUUCGUUAUUUUUAUCUUACAGUUCUAGCCUGGAAACUGGUUCUGUUCGUUACAUGCAAUUUUGAUUAUAACAGACAUGUGCUGCUUGCCUUUGAUCUCAUGCCCAGCUUUGACCGUAUCUUGAGAUUAAGUGUUUACUGUACAAUUGGCAUUUGUAUUGUAGAUAUAGCUAUAACUGGUAGCUGAUCCUUGUCUACUGUUGCAGUUGAUUAUCUUCUAUUCACGGUCCGUGAAGUUAACAUGAAACCGAACCCGGAUGAAGUUGCUGAUGUUAAAUACGUGAACCGAGAACAACUGAAAGAGCUCCUGAGGAAAGCAGAUGCUGGAGAGGAAGGUCUGAAGCUAUCCCCUUGGUUCAGACUUGUAGUUGACAACUUCUUGUUCAAGUGGUGGGAUCAUCUUGAGAAGGGAACCCUCGAGGAAGUCAUAGAUAUGAAAACCAUCCACAAAUUGACUUAAAAGGAGCUGCCUUGCGAUCUGGUUGGACCAUCUUAGUUCUUUCCCUAUAAACCAAUAACUUCAGUUGUGAUUUUCUGAAGGCAUAUUUCUGCAGUAUGUUUGUUGCUUUUUGUAGAAUUUGAAGGAGGUAUUUUUUUGACUGAUUGUACCUUGUAACAUAGCUGUGGCUUUCUGUCGAAACUCAAUAAGAUAGCUUCUUGUUUGGUGCUUGCAACUUUAAUAUUAUACCGGAUUGGUGUUCUUGGUUGCUCUAGUGGUGAUCACCCUCUGCUUCCAACCAAGAGGUUGUGAGUUCGAGUCACCCAAGAGCAAUGUGGGGAGUUCUUGGAGGGAGGGAGCCAAGGGUCUAUCGAAAACAGCCUCUCUACCCUAGGGUAGAGGUAAGGUCUGCGUACAAACUACCCUCCCCAGACCCCAUUAGUGGGAUUAUACUGGAUUGUUGUUGUUGUCUAGAACGCAUCCCUCGGGAAGACAGUUUUUAAAAGCGACAGAAAUUUUGAGAUCUUUCGUAUACUUAUGUACCAAUAAAUAUUGAUGAAAAAGCACGAUACUGAUGAGUACAUGUUUUUAAGUCAUGUAAAUUACAAGAGAUAAAGUAAGCGUUUGCAACUCUGAGUGUGCAAUUAGUUCAGCAAAAUGUCCUGAUUGUGUCCAAAAUUGACCUUGUAAAUUUAAAUCUAUAAGAAAAACUUGACUGUCGAACAGAACAAGAUCCAGGUAUGUAUGAUAAAGCCUAAACAACUACUUAAACAGCACUCUGUCUUGUAACUAAUGCUAUAACGAGCAGUCUAUCCUUGAGUUUCACUUCUAAAAAUCUUCAACUCCUGGCAUGUCACUCGCUUGACUCAGCUGUAUCCUCCCUAGUCACAGAAAUGCUUGAUGCAGAAUCAUCCGCCAACUCUGGCGAGACACUCUGUUGAAGCAUUGCCUUCCUCUUUCUUCUGCUCUGGCGCAAUCUUCUUACUGACUCCGACACAUCACUUUCUUCUCGAGCUUUCUCUUGUGGUUCUUCCGAUGCUUCGACUAUUAAAUUCUCAUCAACGUGUGUCCUAAAGCUUGUUGCGAUCACUGGAAAUACGAGCGGUCUACACCAGUUGAGGAGAAUUAUGAGCAGAGUAAUGAACAUAUACAUCGAGGUCCAAACUGAGAAUGUCCAUUUCCACUUGUACGCCAAGUCUUUAUACCAAGGAGGAUGAGACUUCAAUAUGAUCUCCGAUUGAUAAAGCUGGGGCAGGGCUAAAGUUCCAGCUCGAGGUAUCAUAGUUAUUCUGAUUGCCUCUGUCCUCGGAGUACCUUCCUUGUGCUUUAACAUUGGAAUGAUCAUCCUUUGUGUUUCAGCUGUAAGUCCAAGUACAAGGGGCACACUCAUUAUAAAUUCUCUCAUGAGACGGAUUGGCAGGCUUCUGAAUCGCAACAUACAUGGAUGACUUGAUCUUGCCAUUAUGAUCCCCUCGGCUGAUAACGCUUCUGAAACCAACUGAUAAGAGAGUUAUGAAUAGCUAAAGUAAUGUUAGAUGUUUGACAGCUCUUUUGUUCUUUAGCUAGAGAGAUAGGCAAUUGAUACUUCCACAUCUAAUGUAAUGAAAAUACAGAUUUGAAGUAUUCUACAGAUAAUAACAGCGGAAUAACUUAAUUACGCGUAUAUGACCUUAAUACAUGCACCUAGAAGAGGAAUUUAAUCUUUUCAAGAAUUUAACUGUGUUAUUGCUAUUGGGAAAACGCACUCCCGAUAGUAUAUAAUUGUCUUUCACUGUUAGUGUAAGUUAAUAUGUGAUAACAAGUUGAUUAUUUUUUUUACCAGGUUCUCAAUUAAAGCCUAUCAUACGAAAUUUACUAUUGUUAACACUGUCAAUAGACUCAUUGCUAGUGACAUAAAUAAAGCUAACCAAAAAUUGAUGUGCAUUGAGUACCUAACAAUGUCCAAUACUUUGACUCCACAUCCUUUAAUGGAAGAGUAUUGAAAAGAAAAGUUAAUACACUAUAUAAUAACUAUUCACUAUAAAAGUCAAAGUUUUUUAUGGAACUAAUUUUUAGGCUAUAUUAUAAUAUAUGUUCUCCAUAACAGCACUUAGCUAUAAGUGCGAAAAAAAUCCAGAGCGUAAAGUUUCUAAACUAUGACAAUGAUCCCUGAUUUCCUUCCUAUAACCAACGAGUAGUCAUUCAUUAUAUCAAUUUAACAUUUAUGGACUUCAAUAUCACUUUUUUCCCACUCAUGAUUCAAGUGUAAUGACUCUCAAGACAUUGGAACAAUCUUUAGUCCAUCAUCAAGAAACUACACAUGUUUGUUUGAUAGGCUAUUGAGUAAUAUUAUCAAGUUUGUAUCCUACUCACAAAUCGAAUGAAUGUUCAUCCAAUAUUAUACCAGGAAAACACCAAUAUCUCUGUUGAAAUCAGAUUCAGGCAUCAGUAGAAACAAAGAAACAUACAUUGUAUGUCCAACUGGCACACCAAAAUUCUUCUUCUGCUUCAUCAUCAUAAAAUUAUGAUUAUAAUUCUCCACACCAUAUUCAGCAAAAGAAAACACAGCUUUUGGAUGAAUAUCUGCAUAAUCAAAAUAGAGCUGCUCUCUCAAUACCACAGGCUCUUCAGCCAACAUUCUCACUAACCCAAAUCCCAAAACCCCCGACAAAAUCAACAACGUUGUCAAAACCAUUCCAACAUAAGCAGCUCCAAGAAUUCNNNNNNNNNNNNNNNNNNNNNNNNNNNNNNNNNNNNNNNNNNNNNNNNNNNNNNNNNNNNNNNNNNNNNNNNNNNNNNNNNNNNNNNNNNNNNNNNNNNNNNNNNNNNNNNNNNNNNNNNNNNNNNNNNNNNNNNNNNNNNNNNNNNNNNNNNNNNNNNNNNNNNNNNNNNNNNNNNNNNNNNNNNNNNNNNNNNNNNNNNNNNNNNNNNNNNNNNNNNNNNNNNNNNNNNNNNNNNNNNNNNNNNNNNNNNNNNNNNNNNNNNNNNNNNNNNNNNNNNNNNNNNNNNNNNNNNNNNNNNNNNNNNNNNNNNNNNNNNNNNNNNNNNNNNNNNNNNNNNNNNNNNNNNNNNNNNNNNNNNNNNNNUUCUUCAACUCGGCUUUCCUUUUGGGAUUUGGCAUUUUACUGCAGCUGAGUGACAGAUUUUGUGCGAGAAGUCCAGGUGUGAAGUGCACAAGGAAGAAGGUGAGAAAAGUGGCAGUAAACUUAGCUCAGGAGUUGACAAGUGUUAUGGAAACAAACGCUUGUUUUUUUAAUGGGAAGAUGAAAUAAUAUUUGGAAAUUUGGGAAAAGGAAAGGAGAAAUUCAAAACUUUCUCAUGAAAAAAAGAAAAGGAGUGCAUUUGGUUAAAAUUUCAAAAUGGGGGAUUUGCCUCUCUUGAAUUCCAUUGACUGCACACACUUUUUUUUGCCUCCCUUUGUUGUGUUCUCGUUUAACAAAUCAGAAGUCAUUGUGUAUAUUUAACCAAAUCAGAAUCCGAUGUUUUAUAUCAUCUAUGGCUACUCUUAUCCAUAGAUUUAAGAAAUAUUUUCAUAAAAGUGUUUACUACAAUUUAAUUAUAUUAUUUUAACUCCAACUUAAAACAGUGAAUUUGUGUUUAGAAAAAGUUAUUUUAAAAUUAUUCCAAGUUAAAUAGAAGUAAGAUUAUGGCUAACAAAUUUCAAUCAUAUUUAAAAGUUAAAUCCGAAGGCAAACUUCAAAUACCCUUUGUCAACCUCAAUUUUAAGUACUUCCUCUUUAUUCUCAACUACAAUCAAAUACUGUCCAAACCUUUAAUAUUAUGGCAUGAAUGGUCAUUGAUCAUACCUAUUGUAAUAUGUCAAAUAUUAUGGUAAUAAAAUUAUUAUAGGACAAAUGUAAUGGAAGCAACAUAUCUUGACUAUAAUAAUUUUGAUCAUGACCAUAUGGUAUAACUUUCUCCUUGAAAGAGAUAUUUACCAUAUGGAUGUUGAUGAAUAUGUGGAAGUACAAUAUUAGUUGAGAGCUUUGGAAUAGCCAAUUAUACUAUUUAAGAGAAAUAAAAUUGAUUAUCAAUAAGGUAUUGUGUCGUAGUAAGUCUCAAAAAAACUUAUUGACUAAAGUAUUCGCGAAAGCGGUUGGUUAUAUUGAGACUAUAAAUAAAGAAAAAAUUUAAUAUCUUCUAUUACUACAACCUGUGAUGGGGUCAUAUAAAUGUGAAAAAAUAACCGCUUUAUUCUCCAGUUUGUACUAUACAAAUAAAAGAAUGCCACAAUAAAACAGAAAUUUAUUGAUAUAAAAAUUCAUAUCAUAAUAAACUUGGAGUUUAUUGAUAAUUACGCACGUCAUGGUGUAAACCUAAAGUUUAUCAAUAUUAAUAAUUUAUUCAGUUGGCAUAAUUAGUUUAGUUAUGUCAAUUUUAAGUAUAAUGUGCAAAAAUAAAGAGAAUUCACAUGGGUAAAUGUUAAAGAACCGGAAAGUUCUUUACGAAUUCUCUUAUGUUGUUUGUUCUCGUUAAUUAAUAGACCAACUAAAAUUGGAAUUGAAUCCCAUGAAUGUUGGAAAUAUCAAAGGUAAAUGUGGGCUCAUUCACCUGCCAUGUAUACCACAUUAAAUGCAUCUAUGAGAUUGGUUACAUGUGUGAUUAUUAUUAACUCGUAACCUGGUGUUUGCGAGGUAACUUGCUCAAUAAUUUAAUUUAGAGCAUAAUUUUCAGAUUUUCUAUUCAAGACAGUUCAUCUUAAUAGGUUGGUUUACAUCACAGUUGGUUUAGCAAAAUGAUUUAUCGAGUGCCCCCACUUAAUAGCUAAACUAUUGUUUAUGGGAAUAAAGUAAUCCAUAUUAGUUUGAUAUACGUUAUAUACAAAAGUGUAUUACAUUCUCCCCUAUCAAGUGGUUCAGGGUCAGGAACCAAAUAAUUCUAUUUUAUUAUUAUUAAUAUGCGGUGUAUACUUUGAUUAAUUGCAUAGCACACAAAGGUGGGUUUCCAAAAGUUGAGGAAGCAAGUUAAUUUUUCUAACAUGAGGGGGAGACAUGAUAAACAGUUGAGAAAAAAGUUGCGUGGAAUGAAUGAUCAUUGUACAUCUAGAUCCUAGAAUAAGAUAAUAUGAACUUGAAAUUCAUAAAAAGAUAAUUCAUCUGCAAUAUAUUGUAAAGUGUCAUGACCCAAAAUCUAACUAGUCGUGAUGACACCUAACCCCAACCCGCUAGGUAAGCCAAUUAACAGCUAUCAAAAUUAAUGAGAUUUAUUGAGAAAUGUAAUGAUAAUAUAACUGAACUUCUAUACAAAGAAUUCCCAAGGACUGGUAGUACAAAUCAUGAGCUUAUAAGAUUUAGAGUUUACAAAGCUAGUAUGAAAUAAAUACAUCAUCUGUUUGAAAUAUACAUGAAUAGAUUAAUAAUUCUAAAGCUACCAAGAACAAGUAGCAGCUACGACUCGAAACGCAGGUACGUCUUCAAAUCCAACUCCCGACGUACGCAGCAAUAUAAGCAUCCAAAAUCUGCACGCAAGGUGCAAAAGUGUAGUAUGAGUACAAUCGACCCCAUGUACUCAAUAAGUAACAAACCUAACCUUAGGUUGAAAGUAGUGGCGAGUUGGGACAAGGGUCAGAGUCCAACUCUAAUAACCAGCAACAGUUCAUAACAAUAUAAUAAAAUGAUACACGAAGUAACUCAGAGAUAUGAUGCUCAACUCAUUCACAGCUACGGAAAAUAGGCAUGCUUUUCAAGUAUAACAGUAAAUCCCAAAUCUUCCACCGAAAAUACCAAAAAUGUGAGUAAGUUUAAAAACUGUCAUUUUUUCCAAAGCUUUCAACAGGUAAAUGUUUCAUUUUCAAAUGGCACGAGAAAAAUACAUCUCUAUGCCUACAUGUUAAUAUGUAUGAGAAGUCAUGAAUGACGUGAUACCAUACAGCAUGAGGAAAAUGCAUCUCUAUACCUGUAUGUCAAGUGUGCAUGUAGAAUGAGAUGCAACUCAGUGAUAAAACCAUAUGCAUACUCUCAGAGUAUCAAUUCACCCAGUCCUCCCAGUCACUCAUUCCUAACAGUCACUCAGUCCUCACAGACAUUCAAUCCUCCCAAUCACUCGCCACUCGCGCUUGAUAGGUACCUGCACUCACUGGGGGUGUGUGUACAGACUCCGGAGGGGCUCCUUCAGCCCAAGCGCUAUAAUAAGCCAAUCAUGGCAUAAAUCAAAAUAACAUGUUGUGGCGUGCAGCCCGCUCCCAUAAAUAUCACUCACAAACAGACCAUCGGCCUCACUCAGUCAUCAAUCUCUACAAUCUCCCGGGCUCACAAUGUCAUGAAAGAUCAGCCCAAAAAUAAUGAUAUGAUAUAUCAAUCAGUGGUAAUAGAGACUGAGAUAUGAUAUGUAGAAUGCGUAUGGCUGAGUAUGUAAUUUCAAUAUAAACAGAUAACUCAACAACAAAAAUGACCUCAGUGGGUCCCAACAGGAUAAAUAUAUAGCCUAGACAUGAUUUCUAACAUGGAUUACAGCUCAAUAGCUCUAGUACGUAGAGAUUUCAUGAUUACAGAUAAGAUCAGGUAACUACACAGUACCACAACAAACAAUGGAGUCACAAUUCGUACGGUGCACGCCCAUACGCCUAUCACCUAGUAUGUGCGUCACUUUUACACCAAACACAUAACACGUAUAUUCAGGGUUCAUACCCUCAACACCAAGUUUAGAAGUGUUACUUACUUCGAACAAACCAAAUUCAAUACCGAGCAAGCCAAAUGAUGCUCCAAAAAUGCUAUCCCGCGUGUACCGAUCUCCGAACGGCUCGAAACUAGCCAAAAGCAACUCAAAUACAUCAAAUAGUGCCCAAGAAAACAAACCCAAUCGAUAAAGGUUGAAUCUUUAAUCAAAAGCUCAAAGUCAACCAAAAAGUCAAACCCAUGCCCGUACCUCAAAAUUCGAUGAAACUCAUAAAAUCUGAUAACUCAUUCAAUUACGAGUCCAACCAUACUAGUUUCACUCAAAUUCGACUCCGAAUCGAUAUUAAAAACUCAAAAAUUUACUUUAUAAAUUUUUAGACAAAACGCCCCAAAUUUUACUUUGAAAUCAUCAAUCAAAUAUCAAGAACGAAGAUGGAUUCAUAAAAUAUAAUCAAAACUGAGUAUAGAACACUUACCUCAAUUCAUGUGGUAAAAAUCGCCUCCAAAAUUGCCCAAAUUCGAGCUCCCCAACUCAAAAUAUGACCAAAUGAACAAACCCCCGAUAUUAUAUAUUUUUGCCCAGCUGUUCUAUCUCGUUUCUCAUGACAAAUGAUCCCGAAACUUGCUUUUUAUGCUUUCAAUAGAUUUUUUGUAAAAUUUCAGUCAAGUUAGGCUUUUGAAUCACUCCAUUUGACGUUAUAAUGAAGGAGAUAUGUUGAUUUAAAUAUUUGAAAAUAGUGCAGAUUUUUAAAUACGAAUUCAGUGACAAUUUCGUAAUUAAUCUAAAAAUAAUUGGCUAGCCAAUUCUUAGUAAAAUGACCAUAAAUUACUUAUAAGAUGUCGAAACUUGACGAUUCCAGUUGCCAUGGUUCCAAAAUUACCAUACGGAUCUAAUGCUUCAAUCAAAACAGAAAUUAGAGCUCAUUUGCUUAAUGUGAUGCUAUUUAUGCUUGAAGAAACGACGUCGAAACAUCAAAACGAGCACAACACAACCCAAACCUAUCCGAAACUCACUCGAGCCCCCCGGGACCCCAUACGAACAUACCAAUAAGUCCCAUAACAUAACACGAACUUACUCGAGGCCUCAAAUCACGCAUAACAACAUCAAAAACCACGAAUCGCACCUCAAAUCGAACUUAAUGAACUUUGAAUCUAUCAACUUCCAAAACUCGUGCUGAACCUUAUCAAAUCAACUUGGAAUGAAAUCAACUUGAAGAAAUGACGUCGAAACAUCAAAACGAGCACAACACAACCUAAACCUAUCCGAAACUCACUCGAGCCCCCCGGGACCCCAUACGAACAUACCAAUAAGUCCCAUAACAUAACACGAACUUACUCAAGGCCUCAAAUCACACAUAACAACAUCAAAAACCACGAAUCGCACCUCAAAUCGAACUUAAUGAACUUUGAAUCUAUCAACUUCCAAAACUCGUGUUGAACCUUAUCAAAUCAACUUGGAAUGAACUCAAAUUUUGCACACAAGUUUUAAAUAAUAUAACGAAGCUAUUCCAGCCCCGAAACUACAAUUAGAACCCGAUAUCAUCAAAGUUAACUCCCGGUCAAACUUAUGAACAUUCCUAACCUUCAAAUUUUUAACUUUCGCCAAAUAGAGCCGAAACCUUCUAGAAAUAUCCAAAUACAAAUUCAGGCAUAUGCCCAAGUCCAAAAUUACCAUUCGAACAUAACUGAACAAUCAAAACUCUGAUCCGAAGUCAAAUGCUAAAAAGUCAAACUUGGUCAACUCUUCCAACUUAAAGCUUCAAUCAUGACGUUCAUUAUUCCAAAUCGAUUCCGAAUAAUCUGAAAAUCAAAACUGACGAUUCAUACAAGUCACAAUACAUUAUACGAUACUGCUCAAGACUUCAAAUAGCUGGACGGAAUGCAAAUUCUCAAAACGACCGGUCAGGUCGUUACAGCAUGCUAGAGGCAUUUGUUGACCCAAAGAAAGUAACUAUAUUCUAACUGCAAAUGAUCCUAUCUAGAAGGACAAAGUCUAUGGUAGGCUUAAAGCNNNNNNNNNNNNNNNNNNNNNNNNNNNNNNNNNNNNNNNNNNNNNNNNNNNNNNNNNNNNNNNNNNNNNNNNNNNNNNNNNNNNNNNNNNNNNNNNNNNNNNNNNNNNNNNNNNNNNNNNNNNNNNNNNNNNNNNNNNNNNNNNNNNNNNNNNNNNNNNNNNNNNNNNNNNNNNNNNNNNNNNNNNNNNNNNNNNNNNNNNNNNNNNNNNNNNNNNNNNNNNNNNNNNNNNNNNNNNNNNNNNNNNNNNNNNNNNNNNNNNNNNNNNNNNNNNNNNNNNNNNNNNNNNNNNNNNNNNNNNNNNNNNNNNNNNNNNNNNNNNNNNNNNNNNNNNNNNNNNNNNNNNNNNNNNNNNNNNNNNNNNNNNNNNNNNNNNNNNNNNNNNNNNNNNNNNNNNNNNNNNNNNNNNNNNNNNNNNNNNNNNNNNNNNNNNNNNNNNNNNNNNNNNNNNNNNNNNNNNNNNNNNNNNNNNNNNNNNNNNNNNNNNNNNNNNNNNNNNNNNNNNNNNNNNNNNNNNNNNNNNNNNNNNNNNNNNNNNNNNNNNNNNNNNNNNNNNNNNNNNNNNNNNNNGUAUAGACAAAUCAGUUUCAAAUAAAAUUCUUGAUAAAUAAGAUGAGUAAAUGAUCAAAAUGAUCAUAAUAAGGAAUCAAGCGAUCUAGAAGAUCACAUGACAUAACACUUCAUAAAAUCUCAGGAGAGGUUCAGGUACCUGAAAAUAUGAAUGAAGAGAUCUCUACGUUAUGUCUUUAUGAAAAAAGGAGGUUGGAAAAGAUCGAAGCUGAAAAUUUGCUGCAUAGAGCUUUCAGUGUAUUUCUGUUUAACUCAAAAUAUGAAUUGCUUCUUCAGGUGGGUGGUAAAAAUAAUUCGCUGAAUUUUGCCUUUAGGUUUGACAAAUUUUCUCUGAAAUGGCUGAUAGAUGUAACUUGUCGAAUUGUUCUGUGGGUGAAAUGGUGGGAGUGUCCAGUAUGAUUCCAUCUUAGUAUUUAGAUAACCUAUCAAACUAAUUGACUAAGCUGUAGAACUGGUUUACAGUAGAUGUAUCUUAAUUCUUGGGUUGUAUGCGUAAUUUUAUAACUCUGAAUGAUGAAGCACUUAAUAUAUACUGUCUUAUUCUAUGUACAGCAACGAUCAGCAACAAAGGUGACCUUUCCUUUGGUAUGGACUAACACCUGCUGCAGCCAUCCACUCUACCGAGAGUCUGAGCUCAUUGAGGAGAAUGUUCUUGGUAUAUUUUCUGCUUAGCUGAAAUGUCUAAUUACAACCAUGUUUUCUUCUUCACCUCACUCUAUAUCGUCAACUGCCAGGGGUAAGAAAUGCUGCACAAAGGAAGCUUCUUGACGAAUUGGGCAUUCCUGCUGAAGAUGUCCCAGUUGACCAGUUCACCCCAUUGGGUCGUAUACUUUAUAAAGCUCCAUCCGAUGGGAAGUGGGGAGAACAUGAACGUAAUAACUCAAUCUUCGUUAUUUUUAUCUUACAGUUCUAGCCUGGAAACUGGUUCUGUUCGUUACAUGCAAUUUUGAUUAUAACAGACAUGUGCUGCUUGCCUUUGAUCUCAUGCCCAGCUUUGACCGUAUCUUGCGAUUAAAUGUUUACUGUACAAUUGGCAUUUGUAUUGUAGAUAUAGCUACAACUGGUAGCUGAUCCUUGUCUACUGUUGCAGUUGAUUAUCUUCUAUUCACGGUCCGUGAAGUUAACAUGAAACCAAACCCGGAUGAAGUUGCUGAUGUUAAAUACGUGAACCGAGAACAACUGAAAGAGCUCCUAAGGAAAGCAGAUGCUGGAGAGGAAGGUCUGAAGCUAUCCCCUUGGUUCAGACUUGUAGUUGACAACUUCUUGUUCAAGUGGUGGGAUCAUCUUGAGAAGGGAACUCUCGAGGAAGUCAGAGAUAUGAAAACCAUCCACAAAUUGACUUAAAAGGAGCUGCCUUGCGAUCUGGUUGGACCAUCUUAGUUCUUUCCCUAUAAACCAAUAACUUCAGUUGUGAUUUUCUGAAGGCAUAUUUCUGCAGUAUGUUUGUUGCUUUUUGUAGAAUUUGAAGGAGGUAUAUUUUUGACUGAUUGUACCUUGUAACAUAGCUGUGGCUUUCUGUCGAAACUCAAUAAGAUAGCUUCUUGUUUGGUGCUUGCAACUUUAAUAUUAAA
rnacentral:lncRNA from 1 species